rnacentral:rRNA from 1 species
CAAUAGCGUAUAUUAAAGUUGUUGCGGUUAAAACGCUCGUAGUUGGAUUUCUGUUGAGGGCAGCCGGUCCGCACUUCGUGCGUGUAUCUGGUUUGACCUCGGCAUCCUCUCAAAAUACGUUUCUGCGCUUGAUUGCGUGGAGCGGAGUUUGAGACUUUUACUUUGAGGAAAUUAGAGUGUUCACGGCAGGCAAUCGCCUUGAAUGUAUUAGCAUGGAAUAAUAAUAUAGGAUCUUGGUUCUAUUUUGUUGGUUUCUAGAGCUAAGAUAAUGAUUAAUAGGGACAAUUGGGGGCAUUCGUAUUAACGCGUCAGAGGUGGAAUUCUUGGAUUGCGUUACGACGAACUACUGCGAAAGCAUUUGCCAAGGAUGUUUUCAUUGA